UACGGAGGGUGCAAGCGUUAUCCGGAUUCACUGGGUUUAAAGGGUGCGUAGGCGGAUGUGUAAGUCAGUGGUGAAAUCUCCGGGCUUAACCCGGAAACUGCCAUUGAUACUAUCUGUCUUGAAUACCGUGGAGGUGAGCGGAAUAUGUCAUGUAGCGGUGAAAUGCUUAGAUAUGACAUAGAACACCAAUUGCGAAGGCAGCUGGCUACACAUAUAUUGACACUGAGGCACGAAAGCGUGGGGAUCAAACAGG
rnacentral:rRNA from 1 species